rnacentral:rRNA from 1 species
UACGUAGGGGGCAAGCGUUGUCCGGAUUUAUUGGGCGUAAAGAGCGUGUAGGCGGCUAGGCAGGUCCGUUGUGAAAACUCGAGGCUCAACCUCGAGACGUCGAUGGAAACCAUCUAGCUAGAGUCCGGAAGAGGAGAGUGGAAUUCCCGGUGUAGCGGUGAAAUGCGCAGAUAUCGGGAAGAACACCCGUGGCGAAGGCGGCUCUCUGGGACGGUACUGACGCUGAGACGCGAAAGCGUGGGGAGCGAACAGG